rnacentral:rRNA from 1 species
UACGUAGGGUGCGAGCGUUGUCCGGAAUUAUUGGGCGUAAAGGGCUCGUAGGCGGUCUGUCGCGUUGGGAGUGAAAACUCAGGGCUUAACCCUGAGCCUGCUUCCGAUACGGGCAGACUAGAGGUAUGCAGGGGAGAACGGAAUUCCUGGUGUAGCGGUGAAAUGCGUAGAUAUCUGGAGGAACACCGGUGGCGAAGGCGGCAUCCUGGACCGGCAUUGACGCUGAGGCGCGAAAGCCAGGGGAGCAAACGGG